rnacentral:tRNA from 1 species
GGGCAGUUAGCUCAGUGGUUUAGAGCGCCGUCUUGACAGGACGGAGGUCGCAGGUUCGACUCCUGCACUGCCCA